rnacentral:miRNA from 15 species
AUUUGCACAAGGUGCUCUAUUCU